AUUGAACGCUGGCGGCAGGCCUAACACAUGCAAGUCGAACGGUAACAGGAAGCAGCUUGCUGCUUUGCUGACGAGUGGCGGACGGGUGAGUAAUGUCUGGGAAACUGCCUGAUGGAGGGGGAUAACUACUGGAAACGGUAGCUAAUACCGCAUAACGUCGCAAGACCAAAGAGGGGGACCUUCGGGCCUCUUGCCAUCGGAUGUGCCCAGAUGGGAUUAGCUAGUAGGUGGGGUAACGGCUCACCUAGGCGACGAUCCCUAGCUGGUCUGAGAGGAUGACCAGCCACACUGGAACUGAGACACGGUCCAGACUCCUACGGGAGGCAGCAGUGGGGAAUAGUGCACAAUGGGCGCAAGCCUGAUGCAGCCAUGCCGCGUGUAUGAAGAAGGCCUUCGGGUUGUAAAGUACUUUCAGCGGGGAGGAAGGGAGUAAAGUUAAUACCUUUGCUCAUUGACGUUACCCGCAGAAGAAGCACCGGCUAACUCCGUG
rnacentral:rRNA from 1 species